AGAUUAAGUUAUUAAGGGCGCACGGUGGAUGCCUUGGCACUAGAAGCCGAUGAAGGACGUUACUAACGACGAUAUGCUUUGGGGAGCUGUAAGUAAGCUUUGAUCCAGAGAUUUCCGAAUGGGGAAACCCAGCAUGAGUUAUGUCAUGUUAUCGAUAUGUGAAUACAUAGCAUAUCAGAAGGCACACCCGGAGAACUGAAACAUCUUAGUACCCGGAGGAAGAAAAAGAAAAUUCGAUUCCCUUAGUAGCGGCGAGCGAAACGGGAAGAGCCCAAACCAACAAGCUUGCUUGUUGGGGUUGUAGGACACUCUAUACGGAGUUACAAAGGACGACAUUAGACGAAUCAUCUGGAAAGAUGAAUCAAAGAAGGUAAUAAUCCUGUAGUCGAAAAUGUUGUCUCUCUUGAGUGGAUCCUGAGUACGACGGAACACGUGAAAUUCCGUCGGAAUCUGGGAGGACCAUCUCCUAAGGCUAAAUACUCUCUAGUGACCGAUAGUGAACCAGUACCGUGAGGGAAAGGUGAAA
rnacentral:rRNA from 2 species